rnacentral:rRNA from 1 species
ACUCGAGUGGCGAACGGGUGAGUAACACGUGGGUGAUCUGCCCUGCACUUCGGGAUAAGCUUGGGAAACUGGGUCUAAUACCGGAUAGGGGCCAUCUUUAGUGUGGUGGUUGGAAAGUUUUUCGGUGUAGGAUGAGCUCGCGGCCUAUCAGCUUGUUGGUGGGGUAAUGGCCUACCAAGGCGGCGACGGGUAGCCGGCCUGAGAGGGUGUACGGCCACAUUGGGACUGAGAUACGGCCCAG